rnacentral:rRNA from 1 species
UACGUAGGGGCCGAGCGUUGUCCGGAGUUAUUGGGCGUAAAGCGCGCGCAGGCGGCCUGGCGCGCCCGACGUGAAAGCCCCCGGCUUAACCGGGGAGGGGCGUUGGGGACGGCGGGGCUUGAGGGCGGGAGAGGGUGGUGGAAUUCCCGGUGUAGUGGUGAAAUGCGUAGAGAUCGGGAGGAACACCCGUGGCGAAGGCGGCCACCUGGGCCGACCCUGACGCUGAGGCGCGAAGGCGUGGGGAGCGAACGGG